rnacentral:lncRNA from 1 species
CUAAACCCUGAAACAUCAACUCUAAACCCUAAACCCCGAAACAUCAACCUUCAACUCUAAACCCUAAAACAUCAACUCUAAACCCUAAACUUCAAUCCUAAACCCUAAACCAUCAACACUAAACCCUAAACUAUCAACACUAAACCCUAAAAAAUAAACUCUAAACCCUAAACCCUAAAACAUCAACUCUAAACCCUAAACGUAAACCUACCCUAAAACCCUAAACCUUCAACUCUAAACCCUAAACCUUAAAACCCUAGAGUUGAUGUUUUAGGGUUUAGAUUUGAAGGUUUAGGGGUUUAGGGUUUACGUUUAGGGUUUAGAGUUGACGUUUUAGGGUUUAGAUUUGAAGGUUUAGGGUUUUAGGGUUUAGGUUUCAAAUUUCAGAAAAAUAUAGGGUUUAGGGUUUACGUUUAGGGUUUAGAAUUUAUGUUUUAGGGUUUAGAUUUGAAGGUUUAGAGUUUAGGGUUUAGAGUUGAUGUUUCGGGGUUUAGGGUUUAGAGUUGAUGUUUCAGGGUUUAGGGUUGAUGUUUUAAGUUUAGAUAUAGGGUUUAGGGUUUACAUUUGAUGUUUUAGGGUUUAGAUUUGAAGGUUUAGGGUUUAGAGUUUAGAGUUGAUGUUUCGGGUUUAGUGUUUAGAGUUGAUGUUUCAUGGUUUAGGGUUUAGAGUUGAUGAUUUACGUUUUAGAGUUGAUGUUUUAAGUUUAGAUUAGUUAACCUUAUGUUUUUUUUGUUAAAGUUAAUUAAAGGGUUAUAAAUGUCUUUUACCCUUCAUUAAAGAUGAUGGUAAAAGUGGUUAGUGUAAACAUAAAAAAUGGUACUUUGAAAAUGAUAUUUUUGGCAAUUUCUUUUUUUUAUUGGACAGAGCAAUUACUACUUCCUCUAUUUCAUAUUAAGUGUAAUUUUAGCAUUUUUUUCUUGUUACAAAAAGAGUGUCGUUUUAGAAUUUCAAUUCAACUUUCGGCUUAAAAUUAAUUACAAAUGCAUUGAUUUUAUAAAUCAUUUUAUUUAUCUCAAAUACUGUUGGUUGAAUAUGUGUAAUUAAUAAAAAAAUUAAUUAAUUUCAAUCAUUUUAUUAAUCUGUGUGAAAAAUGUCAAAGUGAAACGGAAGAAGUAUGUUAUUUGAUAAUGAAAUAAAUAUUUCAAUAUUAAAAUUCAUUAAAUAUGGCUAAAUAUUUGAACUUUAAGGUUACAACUACACAUUGAUUGUAUAGUAUAGGUGAAUUUCGAGGAGCCAAGUGAUUU